CCGGCAGUUGCAGGCAGGGAAUUGCUGAUUGCUGCUCUGGAAUCAGCUCUGAGCAAGAGACAGAUUUCCAGAGCUGACUUGUCUGGAGCAGCUAUAAGCCAUGGGAGAUUUAUAUAUUUAAAUGAAGAGGGGAAAAAAAGUCAGACCUAACAUCCAGUUCCUCUGGGACUGUGAAAGGAAGUUUGUUUCUCCAGAUGAAAUGUGGAGUCUUUGAAAGAGUGGAACAACAUUCUUGGAGGGCUCAGAGGAGCCAGAAUGUGAAGGAGGAAUAAGAAAAAGGAAAUUUUGAUCCUGCCAGUACAAAUAAUAAUAGCAGUGAUGAUAGCCCAGCACAGCUGACAUCCCGUGUGAUUUAAGGUAAGUGCAAAGCCUUUGUAUGUAGGAGUUGGACUGAGAAGGAAUCCUCCAUGA
rnacentral:lncRNA from 1 species